rnacentral:rRNA from 1 species
UACGGAGGAUGCAAGCGUUAUCCGGAAUGAUUGGGCGUAAAGGGUCCGCAGGUGGCAGUGCAAGUCUGCUGUCAAAGAAUGAGGCUUAACCUCAUCAAGGCAGUGGAAACUACACAGCUAGAGUACGGUCGGGGUAGAAGGAAUUCCUGGUGUAGCGGUGAAAUGCGUAGAGAUCAGGAAGAACACCGGUGGCGAAGGCGGAUCUCUGGGCCUGAUCUGACGCUGAGGCGCGAAAGCUAGGGGAGCAAACAGG